rnacentral:rRNA from 1 species
UACGUAGGGUGCGAGCGUUGUCCGGAAUUAUUGGGCGUAAAGAGCUCGUAGGCGGUCUGUCGCGUCGAUCGUGGAAAACUUGGGCUUAACCCUGAGCUUGCGGUCGAUACGGGCAUGACUGGAGUUCGGCAGGGGAGACUGGAAUUCCUGGUGUAGCGGUGAAAUGCGCAGAUAUCAGGAGGAACACCGGUGGCGAAGGCGGGUCCCUGGACAACACCUGACACUCGAGGCACGAAAGCUAGGGGAGCGAAACAGG